GGGAUUGCCCCAGUAACGGCGAGUGAAGCGGCAACAGCUCAAAUUUGAAAUCUGGCCCUCGGGUCCGAGUUGUAAUUUGUAGAGGAUGCUUUUGGCGAGGUGCCUUCCGAGUUCCCUGGAACGGGACGCCAUAGAGGGUGAGAGCCCCGUCUGGUCGGACACCGAGCCUCUGUAAAGCUCCUUCGACGAGUCGAGUAGUUUGGGAAUGCUGCUCAAAAUGGGAGGUAUAUGUCUUCUAAAGCUAAAUAUUGGCCAGAGACCGAUAGCGCACAAGUAGAGUGAUCGAAAGAUGAAAAGCACUUUGAAAAGAGGGUUAAAAAGUACGUGAAAUUGUUGAAAGGGAAGCGCCUAUGACCAGACUUGAGCCCGGUGAAUCAUCCAGCGUUCUCGCUGGUGCACUUUGCCGGGCCCAGGCCAGCAUCAGUUUGGCGCGGGGGAUAAAGGUGACGGGAAUGUGGCUCCCUCGGGAGUGUUAUAGCCCGCUACGUAAUACCCUGCGCCGGACUGAGGUACGCGCAUUGCAAGGAUGCUGGCGUAAUGGUCAUCAGCGACCCGUCUUGAAACACGGACCAAGGAGUCGUCUUCGUAUGCGAGUGUUCGGGUGUCAAACCCCUACGCGUAAUGAAAGUGAACGCAGGUGAGAGCUUCGGCGCAUCAUCGACCGAUCCUGAUGUUCUCGGAUGGAUUUGAGUAAGAGCAUACGGGGCCGGACCCGAAAGAAGGUGAACUAUGCCUGUAUAGGGUGAAGCCAGAGGAAACUCUGGUGGAGGCUCGCAGCGGUUCUGACGUGCGAAUCGAUCGUCAAAUAUGGGCAUGGGGGCGAAAGAC
rnacentral:rRNA from 1 species